rnacentral:rRNA from 1 species
AUUGAACGCUGGCGGCAUGCCUUACACAUGCAAGUCGAACGGUAGAGGGGGGCAACCCCUUCGAGAGUGGCGAACGGGUGAGUAAUGCAUCGGAACGUGCCCAGUCGUGGGGGAUAGCCCGGGGAAACCCGGAUUAAUACCGCAUACGACCUGAGGGUGAAAGCGGGGGACUCGCAAGGGCCUCGCGCGAUUGGAGCGGCCGAUGUCGGAUUAGGUAGUUGGUGGGGUAAAGGCCUACCAAGCGUGCGGUCCGUAGCUGGUCUGAGAGGACGACGAGACACACUGGGACUGGGGAGCGGCCCAGAAUCCUCCGGGAGGCAGCAGUGGGGAAUUUUGGACAAUGGGGGCAACCCUGAUCCAGCCAUGCCGCGUGCGGGAAGAAGGCCUUCGGGUUGUAAACCGCUUUUGUCAGGGAAGAAAUGUCCUGGGCUAAUACCCUGGGGGGAUGACGGUACCUGAAGAAUAAGCACCGGCUAACUACGUGCCAGCCGCCGCCGUAA